rnacentral:rRNA from 1 species
GGGUUGUGAGGUUAAGCGACUAAGCGUACACGGUGGAUGCCCUGGCAGUCAGAGGCGAUGAAGGGCGUGCUAAUCUGCGAUAAGCGCCGGUAAGGUGAUAUGAACCGUUAUAACCGGCGAUACCCGAAUGGGGAAACCCAGUGUGAUUCGUCACACUAUCAUUAACUGAAUCCAUAGGUUAAUGAGGCGAACCGGGGGAACUGAAACAUCUAAGUACCCCGAGGAAAAGAAAUCAACCGAGAUUCCCCCAGUAGCGGCGAGCGAACGGGGAGGAGCCCAGAGCCUGAAUCAGCAUGUGUGUUAGUGGAAGCGUCUGGAAAGGCGCGCGAUACAGGGUGACAGCCCCGUACACAAAAGCGCAUGUGCUGUGAGCUCGAUGAGUAGGGCGGGACACGUGGUAUCCUGUCUGAAUAUGGGGGACCAUCCUCCAAGGCUAAAUACUCCUGACUGACCGAUAGUGAACCAGUACCGUGAGGGAAAGGCGAAAAGAACCCCGGCGAGGGGAGUGAAAAAGAACCUGAAACCGUGUACGUACAAGCAGUGGGAGCACAGGUUUACCUGUGUGACUGCGUACCUUUUGUAUAAUGGGUCAGCGACUUAUAUUCUGUAGCAAGGUUAACCGAAUAGGGGAGCCGGAGGGAAACCGAGUCUUAAUUGGGCGUUAAGUUGCAGGGUAUAGACCCGAAACCCGGUGAUCUAGCCAUGGGCAGGUUGAAGGUUGGGUAACACUAACUGGAGGACCGAACCGACUAAUGUUGAAAAAUUAGCGGAUGACCUGUGGCUGGGGGUGAAAGGCCAAUCAAACCGGGAGAUAGCUGGUUCUCCCCGAAAGCUAUUUAGGUAGCGCCUCGUGAAUUCAUCUCCGGGGGUAGAGCACUGUUUCGGCUAGGGGGCCAUCCCGGCUUACCAACCCGAUGCAAACUGCGAAUACCGGAGAAUGUUAUCACGGGAGACACACGGCGGGUGCUAACGUCCGUCGUGAAGAGGGAAACAACCCAGACCGCCAGCUAAGGUCCCAAAGUCAUGGUUAAGUGGGAAACGAUGUGGGAAGGCCCAGACAGCCAGGAUGUUGGCUUAGAAGCAGCCAUCAUUUAAAGAAAGCGUAAUAGCUCACUGGUCGAGUCGGCCUGCGCGGAAGAUGUAACGGGGCUAAACCAUGCACCGAAGCUGCGGCAGCGACGCUUAUGCGUUGUUGGGUAGGGGAGCGUUCUGUAAGCCUGUGAAGGUGGCCUGUGAGGGUUGCUGGAGGUAUCAGAAGUGCGAAUGCUGACAUAAGUAACGAUAAAGCGGGUGAAAAGCCCGCUCGCCGGAAGACCAAGGGUUCCUGUCCAACGUUAAUCGGGGCAGGGUGAGUCGACCCCUAAGGCGAGGCCGAAAGGCGUAGUCGAUGGGAAACGGGUUAAUAUUCCCGUACUUGGUGUUACUGCGAAGGGGGGACGGAGAAGGCUAUGUUGGCCGGGCGACGGUUGUCCCGGUUUAAGCGUGUAGGUGUGUGUUCCAGGUAAAUCCGGUUCACUUUAACACUGAGGCGUGAUGACGAGGCACUACGGUGCUGAAGUAACAAAUGCCCUGCUUCCAGGAAAAGCCUCUAAGCAUCAGGUAACAUCAAAUCGUACCCCAAACCGACACAGGUGGUCAGGUAGAGAAUACCAAGGCGCUUGAGAGAACUCGGGUGAAGGAACUAGGCAAAAUGGUGCCGUAACUUCGGGAGAAGGCACGCUGACACGUAGGUGAAGUGAUUUACUCAUGGAGCUGAAGUCAGUCGAAGAUACCAGCUGGCUGCAACUGUUUAUUAAAAACACAGCACUGUGCAAACACGAAAGUGGACGUAUACGGUGUGACGCCUGCCCGGUGCCGGAAGGUUAAUUGAUGGGGUCAGCGCAAGCGAAGCUCCUGAUCGAAGCCCCGGUAAACGGCGGCCGUAACUAUAACGGUCCUAAGGUAGCGAAAUUCCUUGUCGGGUAAGUUCCGACCUGCACGAAUGGCGUAAUGAUGGCCAGGCUGUCUCCACCCGAGACUCAGUGAAAUUGAACUCGCUGUGAAGAUGCAGUGUACCCGCGGCAAGACGGAAAGACCCCGUGAACCUUUACUAUAGCUUGACACUGAACAUUGAGCCUUGAUGUGUAGGAUAGGUGGGAGGCUUUGAAGUGUGGACGCCAGUCUGCAUGGAGCCGACCUUGAAAUACCACCCUUUAAUGUUUGAUGUUCUAACGUGGACCCGUUACCCGGGUUGCGGACAGUGUCUGGUGGGUAGUUUGACUGGGGCGGUCUCCUCCUAAAGAGUAACGGAGGAGCACGAAGGUUGGCUAAUCCUGGUCGGACAUCAGGAGGUUAGUGCAAUGGCAUAAGCCAGCUUGACUGCGAGCGUGACGGCGCGAGCAGGUGCGAAAGCAGGUCAUAGUGAUCCGGUGGUUCUGAAUGGAAGGGCCAUCGCUCAACGGAUAAAAGGUACUCCGGGGAUAACAGGCUGAUACCGCCCAAGAGUUCAUAUCGACGGCGGUGUUUGGCACCUCGAUGUCGGCUCAUCACAUCCUGGGGCUGAAGUAGGUCCCAAGGGUAUGGCUGUUCGCCAUUUAAAGUGGUACGCGAGCUGGGUUUAGAACGUCGUGAGACAGUUCGGUCCCUAUCUGCCGUGGGCGCUGGAGAACUGAGGGGGGCUGCUCCUAGUACGAGAGGACCGGAGUGGACGCAUCACUGGUGUUCGGGUUGUCAUGCCAAUGGCACUGCCCGGUAGCUAAAUGCGGAAGAGAUAAGUGCUGAAAGCAUCUAAGCACGAAACUUGCCCCGAGAUGAGUUCUCCCUGAGACUUAAAGUCUCCUGAAGGAACGUUGAAGACGACGACGUUGAUAGGCCGGGUGUGUAAGCGCAGCGAUGCGUUGAGCUAACCGGUACUAAUGAACCGUGAGGCUUAACCCUACAACGCCGAAG